rnacentral:rRNA from 1 species
UCGCCUGUUUUACAAAAACAUAGUUUAAAGGAAAUAAUUUUAAAUGAAUCCUGCCCAGUGAAUAAUUUUAAAUGGCCGCAGUACCUUGACUGUGCUAAGGUAGCAUAAUCAAUUGGCUUUUAAUUAGAGUCUGGAAUGAAUGGAAGAAUGAAUUAAAGCUGUCUUAAAUUUAUUUUUAUAAAAUUAUUUAUAAGGUGAAAAUACCUUAAUUUUUAGAAAAAAGACGAGAAGACCCUUAGAGUUUUUAAUAUAAAAAUAAUUAAUAAUUUUAAUUUUUUUGUUGGGGCGACAAGUAAACAUUUUAAACUUUACGUUUUUAUAUUACGAUUUUAUUAAAAUAAAUAAAACUACCUUAGGGAUAACAGCAUUAUUUAUUAAUAAGAUUGUGACCUCGAUGUUGGACUAGGAACUUUAUGGCUAGCCGUCAAAAAAGAUUUGUUCUGUUCGAACAAUACUAUCCUACAUGAUCUGAGUUCAGACCGGACGA